UACGGAGGGAGCUAGCGUUGUUCGGAAUUACUGGGCGUAAAGCGCACGUAGGCGGUUACUCAAGUCAGAGGUGAAAGCCCGGGGCUCAACCCCGGAACUACCUUUGAAACUAGGUAACUAGAAUCUUGGAGAGGUCAGUGGAAUUCCGAGUGUAGAGGUGAAAUUCGUAGAUAUUCGGAAGAACACCAGUGGCGAAGGCGACUGACUGGACAAGUAUUGACGCUGAGGUGCGAAAGCGUGGGGAGCAAACAGG
rnacentral:rRNA from 1 species